rnacentral:rRNA from 1 species
GACGAACGCUGGCGGCGUGCUUAACACAUGCAAGUCGAGCGGUAAGGCCCUUUCGGGGGUACACGAGCGGCGAACGGGUGAGUAACACGUGGGUGACCUGCCCUCAGCUCUGGGAUAAGCCUGGGAAACUGGGUCUAAUACUGGAUAUGACUCCACGGUGCAUGUCGUGGGGUGGAAAGCCUUGUGCGGCUGAGGAUGGGCCCGCGGCCUAUCAGCUUGUUGGUGGGGUGAUGGCCUACCAAGGCGACGACGGGUAGCCGGCCUGAGAGGGCGACCGGCCACACUGGGACUGAGACACGGCCCAGACUCCUACGGGAGGCAGCAGUGGGGAAUCUUGCGCAAUGGGCGAAAGCCUGACGCAGCGACGCCGCGUGAGGGAUGACGGCCUGGUGUAAGU